rnacentral:rRNA from 1 species
UGGGGGAUAUUGCACAAUGGAGGAAACUCUGAUGCAGCAACGCCGCGUGAGGGAAGAAGGUCUUCGGAUUGUAAACCUUAGUAGUCAGGGACGAAAGAAAUGACGGUACCUGAAGAGUAAGCUCCGGCUAACUACGUGCCAGCAGCCGCGGUAAUACGUAGGGAGCGAGCGUUGUCCGGAUUUACUGGGUGUAAAGGGUGCGUAGGCGGGACUGCAAGUCAGACGUGAAAUACCGAGGCUUAACUUCGGGGCUGCGUUUGAAACUGUGGUUCGUGAGUGAAGUAGAGGCAGGCGGAAGUCCUAGUGUAGCGGUGAAAUGCGUAGAUAUUAGGAGGAACACCAGUGGCGAAGGCGGCCUGCUGGGCCUUAACUGACGCUGAUGCACGAAAGCAUGGGGAGCAAACA